GAUGAAGAACGCAGCGAAAUGCGAUAAGUAAUGUGAAUUGCAGAAUUUAGUGAAUCAUCGAAUCUUUGAACGCACAUUGCGCCCCUUGGUAUCCCGAGGGGCAUGCCUGUUCGAGCGUCAUUUCACCACUCAAGCCUGGCUUGGUGUUGGGCGACGUCCCCUUUGGGGACGCGCCUCGAAACGCUCGGCGGCGUGGCACCGGCUUUAAGCGUAGCAGAAUCUUUCGCUUUGGAAGUCGGGGCCCCGUCUGCCGGAAGACCUACUCGCAAGGUUGACCUCGGAUCAGGCAGGGAUACCCGCUGAACUUAAGCAUAUCAAUAAGCGGAGGA
rnacentral:misc_RNA from 1 species